rnacentral:rRNA from 1 species
AGCCUGGCGUUGGUUGUCCAGGUGAAAGGAUGUAGGCAUGUAUCUUAGGCAAAUCCGGGGUACUCUAUGCUGAGAUCUGAUAGCAAGCUGUACUUGUACAGCGAAGUGGUUGAUGCCAUGCUUCCAGGAAAAGUCUCUAAGCUUCAGUUACACAGGAAUCGUACCCGAAACCGACACAGGUGGUCAGGUCGAGUAGACCAAGGCGCUUGAGAGAACUCUGCUGAAGGAACUAGGCAAAAUGGUACCGUAACUUCGGGAGAAGGUACGCUGUUGUUGGUGAUGGAACUCGCUUCCUGAGCUGACGACAGCCGCAGAAACCAGGCCGCUGCAACUGUUUAUUAAAAACAUAGCACUCUGCAAACACGAAAGUGGACGUAUAGGGUGUGAUGCCUGCCCGGUGCUGGAAGGUUAAUUGAUGGGGUUAGCGUAAGCGAAGCUCUUGAUCGAAGCCCCAGUAAACGGCGGCCGUAACUAUAACGGUCCUAAGGUAGCGAAAUUCCUUGUCGGGUAAGUUCCGACCUGCACGAAUGGCAUAAUGAUGGCGGCGCUGUCUCCAGCAGAGGCUCAGUGAAAUCGAAAUCGCUGUGAAGAUGCAGUGUACCCGCGGCUAGACGGAAAGACCCCGUGAACCUUUACUGCAGCUUGACACUGAACUUUGACCUUACUUGUGUAGGAUAGGUGGGAGGCUUUGAAGCUGGAACGCUAGUUCCAGUGGAGCCGUCCUUGAAAUACCACCCUGGUAAUGUUGAGGUUCUAACUCUGUCCCGUGAUCCGGGACGAGGACCGUGUCUGGUGGGUAGUUUGACUGGGGCGGUCUCCUCCUAAAGAGUAACGGAGGAGUACGAAGGUGCGCUCAGCGUGGUCGGAAAUCACGCGUAGAGUAUAAAGGCAAAAGCGCGCUUAACUGCGAGACCCACAAGUCGAGCAGGUACGAAAGUAGGUCUUAGUGAUCCGGUGGUUCUGUAUGGAAGGGCCAUCGCUCAACGGAUAAAAGGUACUCUGGGGAUAACAGGCUGAUACCGCCCAAGAGUUCAUAUCGACGGCGGUGUUUGGCACCUCGAUGUCGGCUCAUCUCAUCCUGGGGCUGAAGCAGGUCCCAAGGGUAUGGCUGUUCGCCAUUUAAAGAGGUACGCGAGCUGGGUUUAGAACGUCGUGAGACAGUUCGGUCCCUAUCUACCGUGGGCGCUGGAAAUUUGAGAGGAUCUGCUCCUAGUACGAGAGGACCAGAGUGGACGAACCUCUGGUGUACCGGUUGUGACGCCAGUCGCAUCGCCGGGUAGCUAUGUUCGGAAGGGAUAACCGCUGAAAGCAUCUAAGCGGGAAGCCUACCUCAAGAUAAGAUUUCCCUAGGACUUUAUGUCCUCUAAAGAGCCGUUCGAGACUAGGACGUUGAUAGGUUGGAUGUGGAAGCAUAGUGAUAUGUGAAGCUGACCAAUACUAAUUGCUCGUGAGGCUUGACUAU